AUGUUUUUAGACAGAAUAUUGUAUCAUAUCUUCAUGGGGAUUGUUACCAGGUUACUUGGUUCGGCCUUGCACAAUUUGCCUUAUGUGUUGUAUAAUUUUCUUGCUCUUUGUAUCUGUAAGCAGUGGUUCAAACGUGGUAUUCUGGUAUUGUGUUGUAUUCUGUGCCAUACUGUGUCUGAAUGGCUGGCUUCUUUACCUGAAGUGUUAGGGCAAUUUAUACUGGAUUCUGUUGCUAAUUAUACUUCAAAUUUGGCUUCGAAUUUUACUGCGAAUUUUACCUCGAAUUUUACUCCGAAUUUUAAUUCAAAUUAUACUUCAAAUUUUACCUUGGGAAUGUUUACUUUGCCCUUUACUGGUCAGGCGAAAUCGUCAGCAUCAGAGACAGGGGAUGCAGCUGCUGGGCAUAGCCCGAAUGUGAGCUGCAUUCUCCAAAUCAUUGUUGUAGUGUCAGUAUUGCUGCACGGGCUGCAGGGGUGGUUUCUCUUUAAAUACUGGCGCGGAAAUGCUAAUGCACCGGUACAAGUUGCUCCGGUGACCAGAAGGAGAAGGAGGAGGUCAGCUCAGUCCUCCGCCCCUUGUGAUAGAGACCAAGCAAAGCCAGACAGCAAGGAAGAGGAUUUGUCUGAUGCAGGUUCAGAACACGGUGCUUCUACAGCUGAUCAGGGAGUGGCUCCUGUGUCAGCAAGGGAGGACGACUCAGAUACGGAGAUAAUCACUAAAUCCUUCUCCACGAAGGAUUUGCGAAAUAUAAGAAAGGAUUUUAGCCGUAAUGAGGGUGAGACACUUGUCUCCUGGUUGCUCCGGUGCUGGGAUAAUGGAGCUGGUUGCAUGGAACUAGACGGUGCAGAAGCUAAGCAGUUAGGAAACCUGUCCAAAGAGGCUGGUAUAGAUAAAGCUCUCGGGGAAAAGUCACAGACUCUCAGUCUCUGGAGGCGACUCUUAGCAGCUGUAAAGGACAGAUACCCUUAUAAGGAUGAUAUUGAAUGCAGCCCAAGUAAAUGGACCAACAUAGAGAAAGGUAUUAAGUACCUGAGAGAAAUGGCUGUGAAAGAGGUGAUUUAUGGUGACUGGGAUAAAACUGUAAAUCCUGAUGAAAUGCCAUGCAGACCACCUAUGUUGCGGAAGUUUUCACGGAGUGUACCACCAGUGUAUUCUUCCGCUUUGUCGGUACCGAUGUGGGCAGGAAUUGAUGAUGAUUCAUUAACUGUAAAUGACGUGGCUAGCAAAAUGCGACAGUAUGAUGACAGUCUCUCUCGACCCUUAACUGUAGCAGCUGCAGAAAGACUGACUGAGAAAACUGAGAAAAUGAUGGAGAAAAAUGAGAAAUUGUUUGAUAAACUGUUUGAUAAACUGUCUAGGAUGGAGGAUAGAUCCUAUUCUUCCCCUCCAUGGAGCAAUGUUGCAGCUGUCAGAAGACACCCUCCUAGGAGAUCGAAUCAAGGGAGACAGAGCACACUACGAAAUAUCCUGUGGUUUUGUCUCCGUGAUUAUGGAGAGGACAUGAGCAGGUGGGACAGAAAACCUACCUCAGCCCUGCAGGCACGAGUGAGUGAAUUGCAAAGUAGAACAGAUAGAAGACCAAAUUAUUCCAGGAGAACUGCUGCUCCAGUUCGUAGGGGGCGGUUCUCCAGUUCAGGAAGAAACUCAUCUGCCAAUUGUAGACGUUAG
rnacentral:lncRNA from 1 species